rnacentral:rRNA from 1 species
CACGUAGGGCGCGAGCGUUGUCCGGAAUUAUUGGGCGUAAAGAGCUCGUAGGCGGCCUGUUGCGUCCGCUGUGAAAGCCCGGGGCUUAACCCCGGGUCGGCAGUGGAUACGGGCAGGCUAGAGGUAGGUAGGGGAGAGUGGAAUUCCCGGUGUAGCGGUGAAAUGCGCAGAUAUCGGGAAGAACACCCGUGGCGAAGGCGGCUCUCUGGGACGGUACUGACGCUGAGGAGCGAAAGCAUGGGGAGCGAACAGG